CCUACGGGUGGCAGCAGUAGGGAAUAUUGCUCAAUGGGGGAAACCCUGAAGCAGCAACGCCGCGUGGAGGAUGAAGGUUUUCGGAUUGUAAACUCCUUUUGUUAGAGAAGAUAAUGACGGUAUCUAACGAAUAAGCACCGGCUAACUCCGUGCCAGCAGCCGCGGUAAUACGGGGGGUGCAAGCGUUACUCGGAAUCACUGGGCGUAAAGAGGGCGUAGGCGGGAUAGCAAGUCAGAUGUGAAAUCCUAUGGCUUAACCAUAGAACUGCAUUUGAAACUGGUAUUCUAGAGUAUGGGAGAGGUAGGUGGAAUUCUUGGGGUAGGGGUAAAAUCCGUAGAGAUCAAGAGGAAUACUCAUUGCGAAGGCGACCUGCUAGAACAUAACUGACGCUGAUGCGCGAAAGCGUGGGGAGCAAACAGGAUUAGAUACCCGUGUAGUC
rnacentral:rRNA from 1 species